AUGGAAAAAGAAUUGGGCAUCAUUGAUACUUGGAUCAAAGUUUUGGAAUUUUUGGUUCAUUAACUUUUCCUCUUUUGUGUUGAAGGGUUGGGGGGCAUUUACUCCGCAAUGCCUGAAGAUUUUAAUUUAAAAUUUUGGUAAAAAAUUGGAGUAAUGGAAGAUUGUCUUAAAAUUCUGUCAAAAAAAAGGAAUAUAAACAUGAGAUUAGUGUUGGGUUAAUCAUUUCCAUUUGAUUGUUUUGGGCGUGUCACUUAAUUAUGCACUGUUUGAUAUACCCUUAUGAUGCAAUGCUUCUCUUGUAUGCUCUUGAGUGCUUGAGAUCAGGUCUCUUAUUAGUUACUGACACUUUCUAAUAUGAAAAGGGCGUUUCCUUUUUAUUAUCCUAUCUAACAUGGUACUAUAUGGGAGAGUUUGAAGUCUUUUCUUUAACAUUUUGAUGUGAAGUUGCUGUUUUUAAGACUUGAAACUAUAUCUUUGCUCUAAACAACAUACACGAUGGCCUGGAGGUUAAGGCAUGAAAUUGCCCUGCAUCACCCAGGUUUGAUUUCUGGCCUUACAUGCUAAUAGGCCAAGGGUAGGACUCAUCAAGCCAUGGUUUGCAUAAAUCAUUCAUGCAGCUAGGAUUUCUGGUUUUCAAAAUAGAAAAAAGAAGGGAAAAGAUAGCUGCAUGCCUGCAUCCUUGCGGUUGUGGGCCCUAGACUUCUACCAUUGCAUAACUUUGAA
rnacentral:misc_RNA from 1 species